UUUAUUUGGUCAAAACUACUCGUUUCUUCUAAUUAGCGAUCUGGGUUGGUGUUUUUUUCGAUGAAUUUUGGUGGGUUUGUGUUAGAUUAUCGAGAUGUUAUGUAAAUUUUGGGAAUUUCGAAUUUGAACUUAAGAGGGUUGCUAAGAGGGUUGAAAUUUUGGAUUUUGUGUAGCUACGACUUUUGGUUCUGCUCUCUCUCAGAAUCUGACCUGGAUUUGCUCAUCAGCUUAAAGAAGCUAGCCAUUCAACGCGACACAAUAAGUGGUCAUGACCAAGAAUUAGCUGACAAUUUUGAUCUUAAGCUGCUCCUAGCGCAUAAUAUGUAUAUAUGAAAUUAUAGACUUUUGAAGACCAAGUGUUUCNAAAAAAAAAAAAAAAAAAAAGAAGACCAAGUGUUUCUUGUAUAGUGGGGAAUCAUUGCAAGUCGGAUCAACAUGAUUCUCGGUUUAACUUUGAAAUUUACCAAGUCUUUUGCAUCCCAUUUUGGUAGCUAGGAUUUGCAGGUUUGGUCUUGAUAACCCUCCACGGCGAGUCCAACUCAAGGUAACAACAGGGAGAACCGAGCUGCCAAUCCUAAAGCUGUGACUGAACCUCCACAAUGGCUGAUGACAUCAAUCUCAAUCAUCCCACUAAUGUGCCUGAUGAGUCUCAUGAGCAAGAAGUUUAUCCCAAUCUCAAUCAUCCCACUAAUGUGCCUGAAGGCUUUGCAACAUGUAAGAAAUGCUUAACCUUGAAGGAGCUUCUUUAACUAAAGUUUAUCACAUAGUCGUGCAUGUUGUUGUUAUCCUUGUAUGGUCCAAAAUCUUAGGUUAUGAACAUUAGAUAUUUAAUUGAAUGUAAUACAUGUUAUGUAUGUUUUG